rnacentral:rRNA from 1 species
AGAGUUUGAUCCUGGCUCAGGAUGAACGCUGGCGGCGUGCAUAAUACAUGUAAGUCGAACGGGAGAUUAGCAAUAGUCUUAAGUGGCGAACGGGUGAGUAACACGUUGGUGACCUGCCCCAAAGCGGGGGAUACCAGAUCGAAAGGUCUGCUAAUACCGCGUAAUUUCUACAUGAUUAGAAGAUGUAGAAGAAAGCCGAAAGGCACUAAGGGAGGGACCUGCGGCCCAUCAGCUAGUUGGCAGGGUAAAAGCCUACCAAGGCGACGACGGGUAGGGGACCUGAGAGGGUGGCCCCCCACACUGGCACUGAACCACGGGCCAGACACCUACGGGUGGCAGCAGUAGGGAAUAUUGCACAAUGGGCGAAAGCCUGAUGCAGCAACGCCGCGUGCGCGAUGAAGGCCUUCGGGUCGUAAAGCGCUUUUCUGCAGGAAGAGGCAGGACGGUACUGUAGGAAUAAGGAUCGGCUAACUACGUGCCAGCAGCCGCGGUAACACGUAGGAUCCGAGCGUUAUCCGAAUUCACUGGGCGUAAAGCGCUUGUAGGCGGCUGGAUAAGUUGGAUGUGAAAUCUUCCGGCUCAACUGGGAGAGGCUGUUCAAGACUGUUCGGCUAGAGGGCGAUAGAGGGAGGUGGAAUUCCAGGUGUAGUGGUGAAAUGCGUAGAUAUCUGGAGGAACACCAGUGGCGAAAGCGGCCUCCUGGAUCGCACCUGACGCUCAGAAGCGAAAGCUAGGGGAGCAAACGGGAUUAGAAACCCCGGUAGUCCUAGCUGUAAACGAUGUAGACUGGGUGUUGGUGGAGUAAAAUCUAUCAGUACCGAAGCAAACGCGAUAAGUCUACCGCCUGGGGACUACGGCCGCAAGGUUAAAACUCAAAGGAAUUGACGGGGGCCCGCACAAGCACCGGAGCGUGUGGUUUAAUUCGAUCUACACGAAGAACCUUACCCGGAUUUGACAUGCAGAUGGUAGGGAACUGAAAGGGGACCGACCCUUCGGGGAGUCUGCACAGGUGCUGCAUGGCUGUCGUCAGCUCGUGUCGUGAGAUGUCCGGUUAAGUCCGGUAACGAGCGCAACCCCUGCCACGUGUUACAAGUGUCACGUGGGACUGCCGGUAUCAUGCCGGAGGAAGGUGGGGAUGACGUCAAGUCAGCAUGGCCUUUAUGUCCGGGGCUACACACACGCUACAAUGGCCAGUACAAUGGGUAGCGAAUCUGCGAAGAGGAGCCAAUCCUGAAAGCUGGUCUCAGUUCAGAUUGCAGGCUGAAACCCGCCUGCAUGAAGUCGGAGUUGCUAGUAACCGCACGUCAGCAUUAGUGCGGUGAAUACGUUCCCGGGCCUUGUACACACCGCCCGUCACGUCAUGGGAGCUGGCAACACCUGAAGCCGGUAGCCUAACCGCAAGGAGGGCGCCGUCGAAGGUGGGGCUGGUGACUGGGACGAAGUCGAACAAGGUA